rnacentral:rRNA from 1 species
GAUGAACGCUGGCGGCGUGCCUAACACAUGCAAGUCGAACGGAGUCGUUUUGGCAAUCUCUUCGGAGAUGGAAUUCUCGACUUAGUGGCGGACGGGUGAGUAACGCGUGAGCAAUCUGCCUUUAAGAGGGGGAUAACAGUCGGAAACGGCUGCUAAUACCGCAUAAAGCAUUAAAUUCGCAUGUUUUUGAUGCCAAAGGAGCAAUCCGCUUUUAGAGGAGCUCGCGUCUGAUUAGCUAGUUGGCGGGGUAACGACCCACCAAGGCGACGAUCAGUAGCCGGUGUGCGGGGAUGAACGGCCACCACGGGACUGCGACACCGCGCCGCAUCCUACGGGAGGCAGCAGUGGGGAAUAUUGCGCAACGGGGGAAAACCUCCCGCAGCAGCGCCGCGUGGUUGAAGAAGGACUUCGGGUUGUAAAGAUCUUUAAUCACGGACGAAAAAAAUGACGGUACCUGAAGAAUAAGCUCCGGCUAACUACGUG